rnacentral:rRNA from 1 species
AGAGUUUGAUCCUGGCUCAGAUUGAACGCUGGCGGCAGGCCUAACACAUGCAAGUCGAGCGGAUGAUGGGAGCUUGCUCCCGGAUUCAGCGGCGGACGGGUGAGUAAUGCCUAGGAAUCUGCCUGGUAGUGGGGGACAACGUUUCGAAAGGAACGCUAAUACCGCAUACGUCCUACGGGAGAAAGCAGGGGACCUUCGGGCCUUGCGCUAUCAGAUGAGCCUAGGUCGGAUUAGCUGGCUGGUGGGGUAAAGGCCUACCAAGGCGACGAUCCGUAACCGGUCUGAGGGGAUGAUCAGUCACACUGGAACUGAGACACGGUCCAGACUCCUACGGGAGGCAGCAGUGGGGAAUAUUGGACAAUGGGCGAAAGCCUGAUCCAGCCAUGCCGCGUGUGUGAAGAAGGUCUUCGGAUUGUAAAGCACUUUAAGUUGGGAGGAAGGGCAGUAAGUUAAUACCUUGCUGUUUUGACGUUACCAACAGAAUAAGCACCGGCUAACUUCGUGCCAGCAGCCGCGGUAAUACGAAGGGUGCAAGCGUUAAUCGGAAUUACUGGGCGUAAAGCGCGCGUAGGUGGUUUGGUAAGAUGGAUGUGAAAUCCCCGGGCUCAACCUGGGAACUGCAUCCAUAACUGCCUGACUAGAGUACGGUAGAGGGUGGUG